GCAUUGGUAGUUCAGUGUUAGAAUUCGCACCUGCCAUGCAGGAGACCCAGGUUCGAUUCCUGGCCAAUACA
rnacentral:tRNA from 1 species